ACCUCUGCAAUAGGCGAAAGCCUGACAGGGUUACUCUGAGUGACUUUCGUUAAGAGAGUCUUUUGGCACCUCUAAAAAGGGUGUAGAAUAAGGGGUGGGCAAGUCUGGUGUCAGCCGCCGCGGUAAUACCAGCACCCCGAGUGGUCGGGACGAUUAUUGGGCCUAAAGCAUCCGUAGCCGGUUCUGCAAGUCCUCCGUUAAAUCCAACUGCUUAACAGAUGGGCCGCGGAGGAUACUACAGAGCUAGGAGGCAGGAGAGGCAAGCGGUACUCAGUGGGUAGGGGUAAAAUCCUCUGAUCCACUGAAGACCACCAGUGGCGAAGGCGGUUUGCCAGAACGCGCUCGACGGUGAGGGAUGAAAGCUGGGGGAGCAAACCGGAUUAGAUACCCGGGUAGUCCCAGCUGUAAACGAUGCAGACUCGGUGAUGAAUUGGCUUAUUGCUAAUUCAGUGCCGCAGGGAAGCCGUUAAGUUUGCCGCCUGGGGAGUACGGUCGCAAGACUGAAACUUAA
rnacentral:rRNA from 1 species